AAAGUGCCCUGGCCUCGUGCCGGUGGACUACACCUCUACCCUCUUCGGAGGGCAAAGUGUUAACCAAUUGUGAAACUUAUACCUUUGCUUCGGCAGCGCUCUCAGCCGUAAAAACGCUGGAGGGGUAAGGCUGCCAGAAGCCCACUUUAAAACUAGUUGAUGAAAUGUCAUGCUGUCUGAUAACCAUUAUUUUGAGAAAUCAAAAGAAUUCUAUUA
rnacentral:misc_RNA from 1 species